GUGGGGAAUCUUAGACAAUGGGCGCAAGCCUGAUCUAGCCAUGCCGCGUGCAGGAAGAAGGCCUUCGGGUUGUAAAUUGCUUUUGUACGGAACGAAACGGUCCUGGUUAAUACCUGGGGCUAAUGACGGUACCGUAAGAAUAAGCACCGGCUAACUACGUGCCAGCAGCCGCGGUAAUACGUAGGGUGCAAGCGUUAAUCGGAAUUACUGGGCGUAAAGCGUGCGCAGGCGGUUUUGUAAGACAGGCGUGAAAUCCCCGGGCUCAACCUGGGAAUGGCGCUUGUGACUGCAAGGCUGGAGUGCGGCAGAGGGGGAUGGAAUUCCGCGUGUAGCAGUGAAAUGCGUAGAUAUGCGGAGGAACACCGAUGGCGAAGGCAAUCCCCUGGGCCUGCACUGACGCUCAUGCACGAAAGCGUGGGGAGCAAACAGGAUUAGAAACCCUUGUAGUCC
rnacentral:rRNA from 1 species